GUCUAACAUUGCUGUUGUUCGUUUAAUGUGUAUUUUCUCGUUGAAAUAGCUUAAAAUUAUUAUUAUUUUUUUUCAUUUAAAGUAAACAUUUUAGUUUAUAUUUAUGGUUGAAUCCAUUGUUUUACAUUGAUACAAUAUAAAUUGGCAGCGGGACAUUAAACUGAAUUUAUUAAUUUGAUCAGAGCAUUUUUAUUAGAUUAAGCAUGAUUUGCACAUGCGCAUUGUUGAGUUGGAGUUCCCGCUCUCUGAUUCAAAAAAAAAAAAAAAAAACCGUCCGUCACAGUUGAACUGUCUGUGAAGAACACAACACACGAUCUGUUGAGCGGCGGCCGUGACGGUAUACUUCAACAGACGUCAGACCCCUCCAGCCAGGCUGCGACACAGAACUACGAGCAACAUUGAUACAGAUCAAUGCCGAGUUCUUGCGAAUUACAACAGUUCCCUUGGAGACAAAGUUCUUGGUGCAGUUGGACAAGCACUCCACCAAACUGUUGGAGGUCAUCAGGAGCAAGGGAGGAGUUGUGAAAGAGAAGACCACCAGGACCUUGCAGGUUUUAGAUGAGGAAAAUGAGGUUGAAGAACUGGAGCAGGCAACCAUGGCGAUCUUUAUCACUGGGAAAGAGGAUCCUCUCCAUCCACCAAAAGACAUUAAAAUUGUCAUUGAAGGAACAGAGGUCCUGAACCAGUUGCCCUCAGUUGCAACCGCUUUUGCCAUGGUCUUUGGGCUCAUAUACACACUUAACCUAAAAUAUCCGAAAAGGCUGCAGUUCACCUUUGAAUUUGUGCAAAAGGUCCUGAUGGAGCUUGAUGGAAAAAAGAUGACCCCAAAAGUCACUAGACUGACCACCCAGCUGUACAGCACAGAGUAGGCAGAGCUGAAUUGCACAGACUUGUUUGAUUUUAUUUUCCAUUUGUGGUUGAAUUUUAUGGUGAUUUACAGCCAAAACUUUGGAUCCUUUUGUAAGAGGUUGCACUUACAAGGCUGCAUUUUCACAGCAGCAUUUACAAAUGUGGCUGCCCAAGUUCGAUGGCUACCAGCCUCAAAGGCCAAAGUAGGCCAAGUGUUAUGGACAACUGGAGAGACUGAUUGCAGUGUUCUCAGCAUAUGCACAGAUUUGUAUGAAAGAGUUUAGAUUUUCAGACCAAUGGAGAGGGCCAGGAGCUUGCUAUAUUGCAUAUAAAUUAGCUGUAUUUAAAUGUAGAGCUUACAGCUCUGUAUCAGAAACUCUGUCAGUGUCUUAGGAGUUAAACUGUUCACUGUCUGAGGAGCAGUUCCAGGAUUUGUCUCUGGUUUUCAGCUGAAAGAGAAUGUUCAUCAUCAUAUACAUUUGUAUAUAAACAGGUAUACAAUACUGUCUUAACAUUUAAUUGUAUUUUAUUUGUUUUAUGGUGAAAUGUGUUCUGUCAGGACAAACCUUCCUAAUUUAAUAUUACUACUAAUGUGAUGUCAUCAAGUGAUGAUUUGAUUAUUUUGUAGCAAAUUUGUAUUUUUGUGUGAAGCAGACUGUUAAUAUUCAUAUAUUUGUAACAGAUGUUCAAUGUCAGUUUAUUGAACAAUAAAUAUAAAUGUGUUCUAAAGGAAAGUGUUAUGAUAGUCAUUGAUCAAAAUGUUUUAAAAGUAUUUUUUUUUUAAAUUUGAU